rnacentral:snRNA from 1 species
UUUCUGGAUGAGAAACUAUCGAU